rnacentral:tRNA from 1 species
GGGGAAGUAGCUCAGCUGGGAGAGCACCUGGUUUGCAACCAGGGGGUCGCCGGUUCGAUCCCGGUCUUCUCCA